GGUACACGAGCGGCGAACGGGUGAGUAACACGUGGGUGACCUGCCCUCCACUCUGGGAUAAGCCCGGGAAACUGGGUCUAAUACCGGAUAGGACCACUGAUCGCAUGGUUGGUGGUGGAAAGUUUUUUCGGUGGGGGAUGGGCCCGCGGCCUAUCAGCUUGUUGGUGGGGUGAUGGCCUACCAAGGCGGUGACGGGUAGCCGGCCUGAGAGGGCGACCGGCCACACUGGGACUGAGACACGGCCCAGACUCCUACGGGAGGCAGCAGUGGGGAAUAUUGCGCAAUGGGCGGAAGCCUGACGCAGCGACGCCGCGUGGGGGAUGACGGCCUUCGGGUUGUAAACCUCUUUCGCCAGGGACGAAGAGCAAUUGACGGUACCUGGAGAAGAAGCACCGGCCAACUACGUGCCAGCAGCCGCGGUAACACGUAGGGUGCGAGCGUUGUCCGGAAUUAUUGGGCGUAAAGAGCUCGUAGGCGGUGUGUCGCGUCGGCCGUGAAAACUUGGGGCUUAACUCUGAGCGUGCGGUCGAUACGGGCAUCACUUGAGUUCGGCAGGGGAGACUGGAAUUCCUGGUGUAGCGGUGAAAUGCGCAGAUAUCAGGAGGAACACCGGUGGCGAAGGCGGGUCUCUGGGCCGAUACUGACGCUGAGGAGCGAAAGC
rnacentral:rRNA from 1 species